rnacentral:tRNA from 1 species
GGGACUUUAUUUUAAUUAAGAAUAUCCUCUUUGCAAGGGGGAGGAGAGGUCUCU